rnacentral:rRNA from 1 species
CUUUCAACAACGGAUCUCUUGGUUCUGGCAUCGAUGAAGAACGCAGCGAAAUGCGAUAAAGUAAUGUGAAUUGCAGAAUUUAGUGAAUCAUCGAAUCUUUGAACGCACAUUGCGCCCCUCGGUAUUCCGGGGGGCAUGCCUGUUCGAGCGUCA